rnacentral:rRNA from 1 species
CCCUUAGAUGUUCUGGGCUGCACGCGCGCUACACUGAUGCAUCCAACAAGUUUUUUCCUUGUUCGAGAGGACUAGGUAAUCUUAUGAGAAUGCAUCGUGAUGGGGAUAGAUUAUUGCAAUUAUUAAUCUUCAACGAGGAAUGCCUAGUAGGCGCAAGUCAUCAGCUUGCGUCGAUUACGUCCCUGCCCUUUGUACACACCGCCCGUCGCUCCUACCGAUUGGGUGUGCUGGUGAAAUGUUCGGAUCGGCCGUUUGUCGCGGUUUCCGCGUCAUGUGGCUGAGAAGUUCAUUAAACCCUCCCACCUAGAGGAAGGAGAAGUCGUAACA